UUACAUUCCAUUGUUAGGUUAGUGACAUUAAGAGGAUAAGUACAAUUCUCUGCUAUUGAAGACUACAUUGAGAAGUUAAUUGUUUGCUGUUUGAAGCUGUACAUUAACUGAAGACUAUAAAGAAUUACUUACCAUUAUUAUUUAUAAUUUUAGCAUAAUUUGUUUAAUACACAAAGUUGUCUUUUUAUCAUUGAUUAUUAUGAA